rnacentral:rRNA from 1 species
AUGACUUUUAGGGCCUCACAAUUAAUUAAGGAGAGCAACGUGGACGCCACGGUCGGCGGCAAGGUGGACUUCCGGUUCCUCCCGUUCGGCGUGGGCCGGCGCAGCUGCCCGGGCAUCAUCCUCGCGCUGCCCAUCCUGGCGCUCGUCGUCGGGAAGCUCGUGAGGAGCUUCGAGAUGGUGCCCCCGCCAGGCGUAGACAAGCUCGACGUGAGCGAGAAAGGCAGGCAGUUCAGCCUGCACAUUGCCAACCAUUCCACCGCCGCCUUUCACCCCAUCUCACCAUGA